UACGUAGGGUGCGAGCGUUAAUCGGAAUUACUGGGCGUAAAGCGUGCGCAGGCGGUUCGUUAAGUCAGCUGUGAAAGCCCCGGGCUCAACCUGGGAAUUGCGGUUGAAACUGGCGAACUAGAAUCUGGCAGAGGGGGGGUGGAAUUACCACUGUGUAGCAGUGAAAUGCGUAGAGAUGUGGAGGAACACCGAUGGCGAAGGCAGCCCCCUGGGCUGAGCAUUGGACGCUCAGGCACGAAAGCGUGGGGAGCGAAACAG
rnacentral:rRNA from 1 species